GACUCUGUAGUGGAAAUGCUAAGUCACUGCUUGAAGCAGUGAUUGAACACCUGGUGGGAAGGCAGGGCCAACCCAGGGGAGCUCAGCUGCAUGAAAUGUUCCUGAGUGACCAGAUGAGGUGGAUCCAGGAUGCACCCCUUCCCAGACCUCAUUUAAGGGUUGGCAGUGGAGGUAGGGGUAUUUUGCUGGAGAUUCCUGUGUACCUGAGGUCUUCUGAAGACUGACUACUCCUGAUAGGCACCAACCUGGGGCUCUGUUCUUGCACCUUCCCCUGAGCCUGCUGGGCAGCACACGCUAUCCAGUCACAAGCUCUGCAGUGAUCCCCCAUGCUGACUUCAGUGCAGAAAGCAGUAGAGGCUCUCCUAGGAUGGUUAUUUUAACAAGAUGUUUUAAUAUGAGAGGCAGUGAUUAUUAGAAAGUGUAAUGAUUUGCAGGCUUGUGGCGCAAAGGUAUUAUAAUACUGCCAUGAAGAGCACUUUAUCUGAGCCUCUGGAUUGCAGCUUUCUCCCACGUUAAUACUUCUGCAGUUUAACCCUCAUUACUGAUAUUUCUCUCUUCAUCCAUCAUGCUGGAUACAGUCCCAUGCCAUCCUUCAGUUCUGUGGUGUACAACAAUGAAGGAUGCAGAGUUACAAAAUCAUCCAAGAAAUGAUGCAUAUGCACGGAAGAGAACUGUUCAGACUUCUCAUUCACGUUUCUUAAAACAAAGAGAUGUUUUUGAAUAGAAAAACUUCCUCCUCCGAUGCAGAAAGACUCAUUGCCCAGCUAAACCAAGUACCACAGCUAAGGCUUUCUAACAGAGUGUUUGUGAAUACUUUUCCACAUCUUUAGGGCUAUUCUCCUCCUAUUCAUUUGCACAUCUUCUGCUCUUCAGCUGUAAAUGGUUCUAAGAUGUUCAUAUGAUAUAAACUUAUAAACCAGAUGAUAGCUGUCAUUUACCCUUCAGGGAGGCAAACUCAUAUUUUUCAUUGCUCUAUUGAUAUUUCUGACCUUUAGUUUUCCAAUACUCAUUCUUUUUCACAUGAGAUCUUGGUAGCUGACAGUAUUUGAAAAUACUGAUGUUACCAAUCGGCAGAAGAUGUUAGCCCCAGUCAACACAAUAAGAUGAAGAGAAACAGGUGUGUGAGGUUGGUUUAGGCAGAUAAUAUUUUAAUCACAGCUGAGAAAGGAAGAGCUCAACAUCAGGUUUACACAGACCCAGGCAGUUCCUCAAGCUGAGGUAAACAAACACAGGUCUGCUGAGGUCAGGAUGGUUUACACCCACCAGUAUUCUUAGUGAAUGAGGAGAACAUGCAAAAUCCCUUAUUGUAUCAUUUUCUGCAGUUCUAACUGCAAUCAAGAAUAAUUUGAGGUCUGAGAAGGGACCAGCCAGGUUAUUGGAGGCUAUUGGUAUCUUUCAUGGAACAACUGCCUUUAAGUCAGAAAAGAGUGCAAGUAAAUGGUGAGGAGAGCAUCCAACUUUCAGAAUGGACGGGGGAAAAGAGAAUCCAAAUGUAUACCAUAAGCAAUGAGAGGAAAUGCGGUGAACCUCCAACAGACUGUCAAAAUCAUCCAUUAAUAUGAAACCAAAGGAACUUUUUCAUGGAGUCUGGGGUCAGAAUUUAGACCCUGUGUUUCAGAAGCAAUCUUAGCACAACCAAGUUAAACUGGGGAAAAAAGAAAAAGGGAAGCUCACAACAAGCUCAAGAAGUCUUGGCAACUCAGGUAUGAGAACUGGAGCAGUCAGAGGUUCUUUCUGUUCUGUGAAAGCUUAAAAAAAAAAAAAGACACAAAAUCAAACCUUGAGAUUGAGACAAAACGGGAAUUUGUUUUCUUUCCAAAACUAAAGGCAAAGCAUUUCAUUUUUUAUGGAAAGUGAGUGCUAUGGAUUUCACCAAGUUUGCAUACCAUUUAAGUCAAUCUCCCAGCAGUGCAGAGGUCAUCUCAACAGUAAGGAAAGCAUACCCUAGGCAAAAGCAGCCAAAUGGAUGACUUAAACCCACCUGGCCCAGUGUUUAUCUAUGUCAAUGACUCCAAUUUCGUCCUGGUGACCCAAUACCCACACUGUCAGUUAGGACUUCUCAACAUCCCGUCUACUUUCUAGAAACACUGCCGAUGGUGACCAUCUGUCAUUGGGAGAACACGAGAAGGGGGAUUAUUAACAGGCUGGCAGAGUAUACUGGAAGACUGGCAAUAUAUUUUACCAAGGACAGAUGUAAACACAAUGGGGAUAUUGUUUUGAAAUUAAGAGAAGAGCAGGAAAUUUCACAGUGCUCUCCUGAGGUUUUUCCUCCUUGCCACGCCAGUGGGAAAAAAAAAGCUGGCAAGUGAGAAGACUAAUUACAGGGAAUAAAUCUACAGUUUUGUGGAAUCUCCCCUGAGGUCUGCUCCUCCUCCAUUACUGCUCGAUUGCCACUGUUACUGAGCGUGAGAUGUAUGUAUGUGCUGCUGCUAAAUGCCACAGAUGCAUCUCUAUUAUCCUUGGAAGCAUAAACUAUUUUUUCUAACAAUCAAUUGCCCAAUUCAGAAACAAAUAUAACGAGCUCAUUCUGUCUUACUCGCUGGAAUCCAGCACCAAUUCUACUGGGACUAAGACAAAAAGGAAAACGUGCAGAAAUAGCUUAGAACUAAGUGGGGUACUUAAUUACUUCAGUAAUUUUGCCUCCUGAAUUAAAGAAAAAAAUGUUUCACAGAUGUGAUAUUAGGGGUUUUUUUUUCAAGUGUCUUAAUUCUAAUUAGAGAGAUUUCUGUUUAAGACUUCAAUGGCCAAGAAAGAUCUCCAAAGCCAUGUUCAUUGCAUAAGGGGAAAAUGUGCAGAAAACUGCCAAAAAUGUCAUCCAGAGAGGGAACCUCUCCCAAGAUUUUGUCUGCACUAAUGAGAGUUUGCUGGCACUUUUGAAUGCAGAUACAUCUUCUGCUGGCAAACCCUUUCCAUUCCCUAUCUGCAGUAAGAUGUACUCUUCAGCUGGUGUGAAUCCAGGUAUCGCUGCUCCUCAUAGCAUCAAAAUGUCAUUAAAAAUCAUGACCUGAGCAGCACUGUCAGCACCCAGCCCUGCACCCCACAACCCCAGGGAGUUACACAGAAAGUGGUGGUGACCACCACAUCUAGAAGGAGUAAAACCCAUGUGAGCCAAGAUGGAAAAGGGAAUGAAGGCUCAUUAGCUGGCCAAACCUGCAAUUAGUAGGGUGGUGCGAGGCAAGAGGAGUGAUUCAUGAAGUGGUGGCUGGCUGGCAUGGCUCCUGUCCCUCUGUGCUUCUUUUCAUCGCAACUCUUGAGAACUGGCCCAAAGCUAACUGAAGAAAUGGAAGUAUUUUAUCGGCUUGAACAGACUUCGGAUCAGGUGUGAUCACAGUUAGUUCUUCAUGACAUUUUAUCCUCUGGUACAACCUUAAAAGGCCUUACAUGACGACUACGCUCUGGAGAUUUUUCAAGUCUACUCCCAUCACUUCCAACAGAGACUUUUUCUUCCUUCUUGCUGAGACAAUCCUGAGCCCCUUGUGUUAAUAAUUAAAUAACAGCCGUGCAUUGGGAAAGGGAAGUGACAAAUCUGCCAAACUCAUUCUGAGAUAUUUUGACAAUCUACAGUCUGAAAAGAUUGUAAAUGAGGGACUGGUCUCUCAUUACACUCCCACUCUCUCAUGCUUAUCUUUAAACAUAACACGGAUUACGCACCAUCCAUCCCAGAGACACAUUUUGAUGUCAUAACAAUAGUUACGAUGCCAGAGUACACAAUACUUAACUGCAGACACCUUGGCACCAUGAUUAACAACCACUCCUGCCACUGUACCUUCCAGACUCUCAUCCAAGGAAAAUUUGUCCCUAUUAAUCACAUCCAAGCAUUCAUGGCUGAAAUGCUCAUUUGUAUUGAGAAGACUUCUAAUGUUCAUCCCGAAUGCUGUGUGUGGCUGCUAACCUUUCAGUGGAGCCCACUGGGAGUCUCUGCUCAUUUGUAUACAAAGUGCGUUAGACAAAAGGGCAACUAAACAUAAUUUACCUGGAAGUGAGGUUAAAAGUGGUUUGCCAGCUUGAUGGUGUCUGGCUAGAGAAACAAGACAUUAAUUAACAUCUACCCAUUGAUUAAUAUUGACUAGCUCUUUUUCCUUCUGCAAGAUUUAAGUAGCCUUUUUUUUGUUUUUUAGUUACAUUUUCCCCUGACCUUGAAUAUUUUGCCAAAAUGUUUUGGUCAAACAUGAGCUUGCUUUUGGUCUGACUGCAUGGAUAAGGGGUAGAUUGCAAAUCUCGGUUAUGGACUGCAAACGCUGCUACUCCAAGAUGCGCUACUGUGAGAUGCCCCAGGACCCCAGUCCAGCACCACUGAAAGCAAUGAGCCUUGGCACUGCCUACAAAGAGCUUGUGUCCAAAUCCAUGCAACCAAAAUCAAAUAAAUAUCCAAAUCCCUGGUUUCUUCCAAAGACAUCAUGUAUUGUGUGGUGGCAGCCUCCUGGUCCCACUGCAGCUGUGACAUAGGAUCUUCACAUGUACUGACUGCCCCAAACACUGCACUGAUCCCACUGGAGGAAGCUGGGGUAUUUUACCCAAAUAAGAGUGAAGCCCUGGCCCCUGCUUUGCUACCAUCUCUGUCUGUGUGUGACACAAGUGGCAGGGUCCCUGCUACCAGGAUGUUCAUGGAGGGAACUUGACAUCUGCUCAUCCUCUGAAAGCACCGCUCGCGGUUAGAAAAGGGUUUGUUAACACCAUCUCCAGACUUUCCUCCAGAAACUUCCUUCAGGCUGGGCAAAGCCCUUGGAAGUGAUUUCUAUCACAAACAGAGCAGGUGGGGAAAAAAAACUCCAGGAAAUAAAGGCAAAGCCUUGAAGCUGCAUCUGCCUUGGCAGGCUUUGAAACGCAGCUCAUCUCUUGGAUAUUUUUCAGUGGUUCUGUUAACUGCUGGUUAUUAAGAAGUGACCACUUUUUUUAACUUAAAAGAUCUCUUUCCAAAUUGCUUUAAUUUUCUCAGCCGCUAAAAAUGUGUUUUUUCUUCUUGAAUUGCAUUUUCCAUAAACAAAAGGUCCUCUGCAACUUUGAAAUCUACUUUGAUUGAAAGUUUUAAUAAAAAACAUUUGAG
ensembl:lncRNA